rnacentral:rRNA from 1 species
UGGGGAAUAUUGGACAAUGGGCGAAAGCCUGAUCCAGCCAUGCCGCGUGUGUGAAGAAGGUCUUCGGAUUGUAAAGCACUUUAAGUUGGGAGGAAGGGCAGUUGCCUAAUACGUAACUGUUUUGACGUUACCGACAGAAUAAGCACCGGCUAACUCUGUGCCAGCAGCCGCGGUAAUACAGAGGGUGCAAGCGUUAAUCGGAAUUACUGGGCGUAAAGCGCGCGUAGGUGGUUUGUUAAGUUGGAUGUGAAAUCCCCGGGCUCAACCUGGGAACUGCAUUCAAAACUGACUGACUAGAGUAUGGUAGAGGGUGGUGGAAUUUCCUGUGUAGCGGUGAAAUGCGUAGAUAUAGGAAGGAACACCAGUGGCGAAGGCGACCACCUGGACUGAUACUGACACUGAGGUGCGAAAGCGUGGGGAGCAAACAGGAUUAGAUACCCCAGUAGUCCCUGAGCGGGCUGGCAAGGCGCAU